rnacentral:lncRNA from 1 species
CUCUUAGGGACUUGUAUGGUUGCUUAUAUCCUAGCUGCAGAAUUAAACAAGAGGAAAUCUAGCUAUACAGCUCUGUUCCCAGAGAAAUACUAUAAAUACAGGCAUGAAGAAACAAACAUUAACUAUAAAUUAAUUGUUAUUUACAUUUCAAAAAGUUGUGAAAGGUUUCUGGAGCUCCCCAAGAUUCAUCCAAGUUGGCUUCUAAAAAUAUUUUCCUAUAGUUCUAAAAUAUUUUCCUAAAAUUGUAAACGUAAUUACAGGUAUAAUGGGAGG